rnacentral:tRNA from 1 species
GGAGGGGUGGCUCAGAGGUUAAGAGCACUGACUGUUCUUCCAGAGGUCCUGAGUUCAAUUCCCAGCAACUACA